rnacentral:rRNA from 1 species
GGGAUUAGUGGGGAGGGUGAGUAACGCGUGAGAAUCUGCUUCAUCGAACAGCUGGAAACGGCUGCUAAUACCGGAUGUGCGAGGUGAAAGCUUAGUGCUGAGAUGAGCUCGCGUCUGAUUACUAGUAGAGUGGUACGGCACCCUAGCGACGAUCAGUAGCUUGGUCUUGAGAGGAUGAUCAGCCACACUGGAACUGAGACACGGUCCAGACACCUACGGGUG